rnacentral:rRNA from 1 species
UACAGAGGUGGCAAGCGUUGUUCGGAAUUACUGGGCGUAAAGGGCGCGUAGGCGGCCUUGUGAGUCCCGUGUGAAAUCCCCUGGCUCAACUAGGGAAUUGCACGGGAGACUGCUUGGCUUGAGUUCGGGAGAGGGAAGCGGAAUUCCGGGUGUAGCGGUGAAAUGCGUAGAUAUCCGGAGGAACACCGGUGGCGAAGGCGGCUUCCUGGACCGACACUGACGCUGAGGCGCGAAAGCUAGGGGAGCAAACGGG